rnacentral:rRNA from 1 species
CUGGCUCAGGACGAACGCUGGCGGCGUGCCUAAUACAUGCAAGUCGAGCGGACUUUCCCUUCGGGGAAGGUUAGCGGCGGACGGGUGAGUAACACGUAGGCAACCUGCCUGCAAGACCGGGAUAACAUUCGGAAACGAAUGCUAAUACCGGAUACGCAGUUUCCUCGCAUGGGGAGACUGGGAAAGA